UUGGCUAAGUCAGUACUGCCAAACCAUGUAAGGGUUGCAAAGCCGGUAAGAUUGGCGGCCAUGAUGAAGAACGUUAAUGAAGGGAAGGGUCUUUUCGCACCUAUUGUUGUUGUCACACGCAAUAUAAUUGGCAAGAAAAGGCUCAACCAGCUUAGAGGCAAAGCAAUUGCCUUACACUCUCAGGUGAUUACCGAAUUCUGCAAAUCAAUAGGAGCAGACUCAAAACAAAGGCAAGGACUGAUCAGAUUGGCCAAAAAGAAUGGAGAAAGACUGGGG
rnacentral:misc_RNA from 1 species